CUCAAUAAUUGUAACACCAAACUCUGACAGAAUUACUCAAUUCAUCAGGACCUGGAUAUUCGCAUUGUGUAUUCCCACAAUUUUACUUCUGCACUAUUCUUAACCUUUCGAUCCCUCUGAAAGACUGAGUUACAGAUCUAUACAAUGACUGUCCUUCCUCGCUGGCUUCCCCCACCUCUCUUUUGGUAGUUUUAUGCAAACACUGACUGGAUCCCUUACCUGGAGGAUAUUUAUGAAUGAAUUUGUUCUAAUGGUGAUCCAGCAUUUUCCCCAAGUAUCGCUCCACACAUGCCCAGAGAAUUUCUCAGUUUCACAAUCUGUGUCCUUCUGGUUUCUUACUCGCUACACUUAACUUUCUGUUUGAAAGUAUAGUCUGCAGUUGGAGAAUUUUAACAGGUCCACAUCCAGGUCUGACGGUCACUUUGUUUAUCACAACCCAAUUAUCUCAGGGUUUUGAACAUUGAAGGAAAACGCAGCACUCACAUUGGGGAGAAAUGCACAUGGUGUGUGUGUUGAAGAGUCUGUGAAGAUUCAUCUGAAAUGUCCGAACACCAGUGCAGUGACACUGGGAGACAGUGUGGAAAUGUGCAGAUUACAGGAAGGAAUUUCUUCAUCCAUCCCAGCUAGAAACUGACCACCAGAGUCACACUGGAGAGAGACCAUUGGCCUGUUCUGCAUGAGGGAAAGGCUUUGCUGAUUCGAAUUCCCCGCUGAUACACCAGCGAGUUCACUCUGGGGAGAGACCUUUCAUGAGCUCUGAGUGUGGGAAGGGAUUCAUUGUCAUCCAAACUGUUAACACACCAGCGAGUUCACAGACAACCACAGUUGAAGAACUUUGCUGUCACUCUCACUAUCAAAUGAACCAUGGUUUUGGGCUGUUUGUACAGAUGUUACCGACCCCUGCUCAAUUAAAGGUGCUGGUAUUGUGAAUAAAAUGUCACACUAACAGUUGUGUAAGGUAGAGCUUGGAAAUAGUCACGUUGUCACAACACGUCGACACAUUCGCACUGACUAAAGACUAUCCACCUGCACGAUAUGUGAAAAGGGACUUGCUGGUUCAUCAGGACUGGUUAACUGCCAGCAAAUUUCUGAAUAAGUUGAUUGGUUUGAAUAUAGCUAACAGUAGAAUCAAAAAUAGUAUCAGUGAUAAUGGGAACUGCAGAUGCUGGAGAAUCCAAGACAACGAAGUGUGGAGCUGGAUGAACACAGCAGGCCAAGCAGCAUCUCAGGAGCACAAAAGCUGACUUUUCGGGCCUAGAGAAGGGUCAAGGCCUGAAACGUCAGCUUUUGUGCUCCUGAGAUGCUGCUUGACCUGUUGUGUUCAUCCAGCUCCACACAUUGUUAUAGUAGAUUCAAAAACCAUGUGUUUUGGGCUUGUUGCUGGAGAUCAUAGAAUCCCUCCAGUGUGGGAGCAGACCAUUUAGCCCAUCAUGUCCGCACUGACCUGACAAACAGUGUCUUACCCAGACACUGUCUGCGUGAGUUUCCUCCAGAUGCUCUGGUUUCCUCCCACAGUCCAAAACUGUGCAAAUUAUGUAGAUUGACUAUGCUAAAUUGCCCAUAGUAUCUUGUGUGCAAAAUGCAGGCAUAGGGUGGGUAGGGUGUGAGACUGGGUGGGAUGCUCUUUGCAGGGUUGAUAUUGACUGAAUGGCCAUCUUCCACACUGUAGGAAUUCUGUGAUGAUCUCGAUGGCCCUUUAUUUGUUAGACAGGUCUGCACACCUUUACAAUGACGGAUUCUGUUGCUCUCCACAGACAUUUGUUUAUUGGAAACAAUGUAAUCUUUCAUUUUGUGGAUAAAAAUCAAAGGAAAGUUUUAAAUCCAAA